UAACAAAGGUUAGUGUCUUUUUAGAAAAAAGUAAUUUAGAUUCGGCGUGAAAAUACUAAGAUCAACUAAAGGGACGAUAAGACCCUAAAAGCUUUAUUUUUGUGUGGCCAGUUUGGGUUAGGCUAGUAAAGGGUUUAGCUGGGGUAGUGUUUGUACAAAAUCUAUGGGUCAGAGUUACGUAGUAGAGCGGCGGCAUGGUCUUCUAUAUAGGGAUAGUUCGAGAAAGUUACUUUAGGGUUAACAGCGCGAUAUCUUCGGGGAGACCUUAUCUAUGGAGUUGAUUGCGACCUCGAUGUUGAAUUAUAAUUUCUUUUUGGAGCACAGGCUAGGAAAGAGGGUUUGUUCAACCCUUAAAUUUUUACAUGAUUU
rnacentral:rRNA from 1 species